GCGAAGGGAGCGAAGGAAGCUCGGCCGCCAUGUUAGGAGUACCGGGACCAUUCUGCGGAGCGGGCUGUGGUUUUAGGAGGCGCGGGAGUCGAGUGGUGAGUCUGUCUACACCAUGGAAAGAUGGAAAAUUUCUUUUCCUCCUGAGGGUGUCUGAAGGGUUAAAAAUGUUGCUAUACUUUGCGCUGUUUUUCUUCCUCCUUUUUGCACCUAAUUCUGAAAACAAAAUUAACAAGUUAUUUUGGGUCCCUUAGGCUUAAGUGUCAGGAUCACCUAUAGAACUCUAAAAAUGAAUAAUUACUGCCCACCAGUAAUUCGGCAGGAGCCAAAUACUCCAGGAUUGGAACCAGAUAUUGUGUAUUUUUAAAACUACAGGUGACUGUACAAGGUUUGGAUGAUUAAGGUGGCACUAGAAAACAUUUAUUUGAAAUAUUGUAUAUAAGGCCUGAUUAAGAACUUCAGAGACCUACUAUGCACUGAAGAACUUGGAUGACUUGCCUCAUAUAAUUCAAAAUCAAAUAGCAUAAAGUGGAUUUAAGGAAGUUCUCGUUUCUCAUGGUGAAGACACACACUUUUUUAGAACGUCCUAAAUUAUCUCCUUUUGUUUCAUUAGGAGCAGGCAGGGAAACGCUGCUUUGCUGUUGUCUCCAAGUGUGUAUUUGGCAUCCAGGCUUUUCAAUAGUCACUAUAUUUGGUACAUAGUAAGAGCUAAGUAGCAGAAUGAAUGGAUAGAUCAUUUCCAUAUAAGAGGUUCACAGUUUUGAGAACAUUAAAUUCAUCAAGGUACAACGUGGGAAACAAUACUAGAGUAGGAACUAAAUGCUGUAUUUGCUGUAUAAAUGAAUAGAUUAGUGGGGGAGGGGGGCUGUAAUUCAUGGUGCCCUAGAUAGAGUUAAAAGGUAGGGUUAACAUCUUCAAGCAAUCCCAUUGGUGGGUAAGCUCCAGAGGGGAAUGUUUGUUUGUGCGUGCCUGCGUGUGCGUGUGUGUGUGUGUUUGUUUUCAUUGUAGCUGAUGUACUUCAAAACCCUGGACUGGUUUAUCUUCACCUAAUCAAUCUCAAACCUGUGGUACCUCUUUUUUCCUAGACACUUCUCAAACAUUUCAGCAUUAACCUACCUCUAACUAGAAAGUAAGAAACCUCUUAUUAGUUCAAUAAGUAAAUGAAGAGAUGUUUUAUCCUUAACAGAAAGCUAAUUAUUGUGUUGCUAUAAGUAUAUUUUUAGCUACAAUUUUCAUUCACCAGUACUUAGGGUAAGAAUCACCUCCAAUUUUAAAUUAUGGCACAAGUCUGCUCAAGGUCACCCAUUAACAAGUAGAGGAAUUAAGAACAGAAUCUAUGCCCUGGCUGGGUAGCUCAAUUAAUUAGAGCAUUUUCCAAAUACACCAAGGUUGUGGGUUUGAUCUACAUCAGGACAUACAAGAAUCAACCACUGAAUGCACAGACAGGUGGAACAUGAAAUUUUUCCCCCUCUAAAGUUAAUAAAAACCAAAAAUUUAAAAAAUAACAACCCAGGUUAACUUUUAAAUCUACACAAGAACUAGUAUUUUAAGGGAAAUGAGGAAGUAAAUGUCCCAGAUUUAAGUAGUUCCCAUCUGGCCAAGACUACAUAUAUAUGGUCUUUUCCCCACAUUUCCCAAAGGUACAACAGCCGUGUGAAACACCAUAUGGUGAAACAAAAGCUCCAUAACUAAAGCACGUUUUUAAAAAUAGCCUGAAGUUGCAAUUUAUUCUGCCUUCGAAGUGUACCUGGUAUCUUUUCAUCUUUUCUACCCUCCAAGAAAAACAUUUCAAGGUUUCCCAUUAGUGAUUUACUGCUGAAAGGAUUUAAUGGCUCCUCUCCCCCUCCAUCGCUUAUCAAUAUCAAUGAGUGUGUUUUCACAUCGCUUGUUUAGAAGGCUGUAAAACAGUUUGGACUGAAAAAAAAAUAUUAAAGUGAAUAGUGAUUUUCAAGCCCUUUUGAUCCACGUGGGGCACACUAGACCAAUAUCUAAAAAAGUGCAUCACAAUGUUUGUCAAUUCACAAGUUAAAUAGAACUUCGUUUUACAGACGAGGAAAUUGGGCAGCUGGGAAGUAUAACCAGGCCUGAUCUGUGCUGGUGUGAAAAUUGUAGGCUUUACCCAUGCCACUAGGUGUGAACAUUCACAUAGUAUAUGGACCUAAUUGCCAUUCUAAAUGCCAGGGAUUUCUGAACUCUCUCUCACCUGGUCCCAAGAGUUUAGGGUAAGGGAUUGUCUACCUAUAGUUAUUUCCACAUAAACAGUGACAACAAGACCCAGACUUUAUAGAACAAUUUGCAGCAUUUUUUAACUUGUAGUUCUUGUGCAGGCCACAUAGCACAGUUUUAUAUUUUGAAAAUAAUUAUGGACAUACAGUAUCAUUUAGUACUUGACCUGGAAAAGGUAGAACCAGUGAGUAGUGGGCCAAUGGAGAAAAUUAGAAAUCCACCUUUAAAAUGCACAAUGCUCCCCAAAAGCUGGUUACCAUGUCCAGGAAAACAACUUGAUUCUACUUUCUAACUCCCUUUUAGCACAAGGUUGCAAAAUGACUGGCUCAUAAACCAUCAAGCUGCCUUGGCACGUAACAUAGCAGACAUGUAGCAGUAGUUUAAUGGAUAAAGAAGUUGUUAAAUUACUGUAAAACGAAUGGAUUGUUUAGUCCUUUAAUAACUGACUUUCAUCACCCCAUAUCACUUCAUUCUUUUGUUAACAUUUUGUGCUAGUGAAGUAGAUUGUUAUGGACAAUGAAGGAACUAGAACAUUGCUUGACGAAGUCCUUCAAGGCUUGGACAGAAAAUGGAAUUGGAAUCCUUGAUUCCCAGUGCAGAGAAGACUGACAUUUGAUAAUAAAAUAUUUAUUGAUAGCUGUGCUUUAUACCAUUAUGUGUUUAAUGCCAUGGCCAUAAAGCCAUUACUGUAACGCUUUUUAUUUUCUAAAGGAAGCCUGCAAGAUGACUCCAGAAUGACUGUUUUUGGUGAAAUUCCUGUUUUCCUUUGGGACCAGGUUCUUUUUCUUCUUCUUUAUUGAUUUUAGAGAGGAAGGGAAAGGGAGGGAGAGAU